GACGAACGCUGGCGGCGUGCUUAACACAUGCAAGUCGAACGGAAAGGCCCUUCGGGGUACUCGAGUGGCGAACGGGUGAGUAACACGUGGGUGAUCUGCCCUGCACUUUGGGAUAAGCCUGGGAAACUGGGUCUAAUACCGAAUAGGACCACGCGCUUCAUGGUGUGUGGUGGAAAGCUUUUGCGGUGUGGGAUGGGCCCGCGGCCUAUCAGCUUUUUGGUGGGGUAAUGGCCUACCAAGGCGACGACGGGUAGCCGGCCUGAGAGGGUGACCGGCCACACUGGGACUGAGAUACGGCCCAGACUCCUACGGGAGGCAGCAGUGGGGAAUAUUGCACAAUGGGCGCAAGCCUGAUGCAGCGACGCCGCGUGAGGGAUGACGGCCUUCGGGUUGUAAACCUCUUUCAAUAGGGAAGAAGCGCAAGUGACGGUACCUAUAGAAGAAGCACCGGCCAACUACGUG
rnacentral:rRNA from 1 species